rnacentral:rRNA from 1 species
CAGCAGCCGCGGUAAUACGUAGGGUGCGAGCGUUAAUCGGAAUUACUGGGCGUAAAGCGUGCGCAGGCGGUUAUAUAAGACAGAUGUGAAAUCCCCGGGCUCAACCUGGGACCUGCAUUUGUGACUGUAUAGCUAGAGUACGGUAGAGGGGGAUGGAAUUCCGCGUGUAGCAGUGAAAUGCGUAGAUAUGCAGAGGAACACCGAUGGCGAAGGCAAUCCCCUGGACCUGUACUGACGCUCAUGCACGAAAGCGUGGGGAGCAAACAGGAUUAGAUACCCCUGUAGUCCCUGUCUCUUAUAC